rnacentral:rRNA from 1 species
UACGGGGGGGGCAAGCGUUGUUCGGAAUUACUGGGCGUAAAGGGCUCGUAGGUGGCCAACUAAGUCAGACGUGAAAUCCCUCGGCUUAACCGGGGAACUGCGUCUGAUACUGGAUGGCUUGAGUUCGGGAGAGGGAUGCGGAAUUCCAGGUGUAGCGGUGAAAUGCGUAGAUAUCUGGAGGAACACCGGUGGCGAAGGUGGCAUCCUGGACCGACACUGACGCUGAGGAGCGAAAGCCAGGGGAGCAAACGGG